rnacentral:lncRNA from 1 species
UUAGAACAGGGACUGAUGAACUAGUCACUGAUAAAGGAAAAAUUUAGGGGCACUAAAAGAGGAAGGGAAGGACGAAAGGGCAGGGUCUUUAAGAGGGAACAUCCACUUGAGGAUUCGCAGACCGCUUCUCAUUAAUCAACUGCUCUUUGAGAUCCUCAAUAUGUUUCAUCGGCUUUGCAUUUUCAGCUGUCCAGCGGGCAACAUUUGCACCCUGAGCACUGCUAGAACCGAGUUCCUCUUUGGGUUGAUUGAUCUUUCCUCCAAGAAUGACAUUUUUAGCUUUCAGCCUCCUUAUCUCCUUCUUAGCAGCACUCUGAGCAUCAAUCGAAUGAUAAACUGUAGAACUGCUGCGAACUCCCUCUUCUUAUCAAUACACUCGCAUUCCUCCAAGGCAUUUAUUGAGAACAUUUGCUUAUGAGUUCCCACAACUGCUCUCCCCAAGGGGACUUUGAAAUAUUCAGAAACUUUAGUGAGUAGAAACUCAUAUGGCAACCCAUGGUUCCCAUCCUUGAAGUUUGUCACCUUCUUCAUAUGUUCAAUCAAGAUUUCGGGCAGAUUGAUAGCAGCGUAUCCGCCCAAUGCCUCCAAAAGAACCAGUUCUGCUAUC